CAGCUUCAAUUCUCCAGGAAAGCUCCACCGCGGUGGAUUAUUUACAUCAUGAAUCUUUACUGUUUGGAUUAAUGGUGACCUCAUUUCCAUUUGGCACCAGAAGGACAGUUCAACAAAACCACCACAGCGACGUGAGCUCGACGAGGACCCACAUCACCUGGUUCAGCUGAGGCGGACGGUGGUGGACAUCUUUUAUUUUUAGUUCUACAAGGAAGAGCAGCUCCUGGUUCUCUCAUCACUGUGGAGGACGUGAACGGGCGGCGUCUGGAGUCUGGAGCUGUCAUGGGGAUUGGAGAGAACGUCCAGCGGCUGCACACUCUUCAACCCAGCACUAAACUUUUUUUCUCUUUCAUUUCUUACUGAUUUUUUUUUUUCAGUAGAUAGAAAUGUACUCUGUAGGAUCAUGUAUUAGGUUCUUUCAAUAUAAAAACAGACAGUAUUAUCAUAGAUGAUGCUUUCUAACCAUGACAUGUGUAAAGAGGCCCCUACUUUGAAUAAAGGGAAACUAAUUCUGAAUUUUCAAUGAUUAAUGUUUGUAAUGUUUUGAAUCAUUUCAUCUGCUUCAAAAAUAAAAUUUGUACAGAUCUGA